rnacentral:rRNA from 1 species
UGGGGAAUUUUGGACAAUGGGGGCAACCCUGAUCCAGCAAUGCCGCGUGAGUGAAGAAGGCCUUCGGGUUGUAAAGCUCUUUUGUCAGGGAAGAAACGGUAGUAGCGAAUAACUACUACUAAUGACGGUACCUGAAGAAUAAGCACCGGCUAACUACGUGCCAGCAGCCGCGGUAAUACGUAGGGUGCAAGCGUUAAUCGGAAUUACUGGGCGUAAAGCGUGCGCAGGCGGUUGUGUAAGUCAGAUGUGAAAUCCCCGGGCUCAACCUGGGAAUUGCAUUUGAGACUGCACGGCUAGAGUGUGUCAGAGGGGGGUAGAAUUCCACAUGUAGCAGUGAAAUGCGUAGAUAUGUGGAGGAAUACCGAUGGCGAAGGCAGCCCCCUGGGAUAACACUGACGCUCAUGCACGAAAGCGUGGGGAGCAAACAGGAUUAGAUACCCCCGUAGUCCCUGAGCGGGCUGGCAAGGCGCAU